GACGAACGCUGGCGGCGUGCUUAACACAUGCAAGUCGAACGGAAAGGCCCUGCUUUUGUGGGGUGCUCGAGUGGCGAACGGGUGAGUAACACGUGAGUAACCUGCCCUUGACUUUGGGAUAACUUCAGGAAACUGGGGCUAAUACCGGAUAGGAGCUCCUGCUGCAUGGUGGGGGUUGGAAAGUUUCGGCGGUUGGGGAUGGACUCGCGGCUUAUCAGCUUGUUGGUGGGGUAGUGGCUUACCAAGGCUUUGACGGGUAGCCGGCCUGAGAGGGUGACCGGCCACAUUGGGACUGAGAGACGGCCCAGACUCCUACGGGAGGCAGCAGUGGGGAAUAUUGCACAAUGGGCGGAAGCCUGAUGCAGCAACGCCGCGUGCGGGAUGACGGCCUUCGGGUUGUAAACCGCUGUCGCCUGUGACGAAGCGUGAGUGACGGUAAUGGGUAAAGAAGCACCGGCUAACUACGUG
rnacentral:rRNA from 1 species